UACGUAGGGGGCGAGCGUUAUCCGGAUUCACUGGGUGUAAAGGGAGCGUAGACGGCCAAGCAAGCCAGGGGUGAAAGCCCGGGGCCCAACCCCGGGACUGCCCUUGGAACUGCAUGGCUGGAGUGCGGGAGGGGCAGGCGGAAUUCCUGGGGUAGCGGUGAAAUGCGUAGAUAUCAGGAGGAACACCGGCGGCGAAGGCGGCCUGCUGGAUCGCGACUGACGUUGAGGCUCGAAAGCGUGGGGAGCGAACAGG
rnacentral:rRNA from 1 species